rnacentral:rRNA from 1 species
UGGAGGCAGCAGUGGGGAAUUGUUCGCAAUGGGCGCAAGCCUGACGACGCAACGCCGCGUGGAGGAUGAAGAUCUUCGGGUCGUAAACUCCUUUCGAUCGGGAAGAACGUUUUCCGGGUGAACAAUCCGGAGAAGUGACGGUACCGAGAGAAGAAGCCCCGGCUAACUCUGUGCCAGCAGCCGCGGUAAUACAGGGGGGGCAAGCGUUGUUCGGAAUUACUGGGCGUAAAGGGCCAGUAGGCGGCCGGCUAAGUCCGACGUGAAAUCCCCAGGCUUAACUUGGGAACUGCGUCGGAUACUGGCUGGCUUGAAUUCGGGAGAGGGAUGCAGAAUUCCAGGUGUAGCGGUGAAAUGCGUAGAUAUCUGGAGGAAUACCGGUGGCGAAGGCGGCAUCCUGGACCGACAUUGACGCUGAACGGCGAAAGCUAGGGGAGCAAACGGGAUUAGAUACCCCAGUAGUCCG